UCUUCUCUUUCAUUUUUGUUUCCAAACAUGUUCGAAUUGUUUUUUUUUCCCCCUUCACUUCAUACUAGACUGAAUCAUGUGAAUUUUAGAUGAUUUGACAAUUUUGACUUUUACAAAAAUGUAAUUUUAUAUACUUCAGCCUAAUCAUCCCUUCCCUGAAGAUAAUGCUUCUAUUUUCUUCGGAUCGUCUCAUCUUAAAAUCUGAGCAUCUAACGUGAACCAAUUUCUCCCAUUUACAAGAGCAUAGUGUGAAAGUAGAUGAAGCUGGCAGGAUUCACAGCAUCGCCUGCUUUGGGAUCUGCUGGAGAAACCAGAGUCCAAAUGGGAUCCUGCAGCUCGUUGGGCCACACCUUUGACCCUGGAUCCCCUAGAAGGGACUGCUCAGGGAACCACAUCACAUCACAGAAGCACUGCCAGGGAUGCUACCUUGAUGAUCCACACCUGUUUUCAAAUUUUGCAACCUGUCUCCAAUUUUGAAACAUGCACUGUAAACGGGAGAUAGUCAUUCGUGAGUGGUUAACUAAGGAAGUUUGUGUUCCAUCCCAUUCCCUGCUUAGAAGAACAGGACCAUCAGGAUUUCCGGUGUGCUGUGAGAGUGUCUGAUCCAACAGCGACCGGAACUGAUGGGUCAGAACCCACAUAUGCAAACUCUAUGAAGGCAAGUCUCUGAUGGCAUGAAAGAAAGCGGUAUUGUUAAGUUUCCCAAGAGAAUUUUUUGGCAGGAAAUGUAAAUGGAGAGGGACAAAUGGAAUAACUUUAUGAGCUUUGUAGAAUUUUAGGUUACAUUUUCCGAAAUGUUGCCUUAUGAGAAGGGCUAAGAAAGAAUUCUAGAUAUUAUUUUAAAAGGGCCAUUACACAAUUUUAUUUGCUCUUCCCAGUUAUUUUUUUUUUUAAAGAUUUUGUUUAUUUAUUUUGACAGAAAGAGAGAGACAGCAAGAGAGGGAACACAAGCAGGGGGAGUGGGAGAGGGAGAAAUAGGCCUUCCGCUGAGCAGGGAGCCCGAUGUGGGACUCGAUCCCAGGACUCUGGGAUCAUGACCUGAGCCGAAGGCAGACGCUUAACGACUGAGCCACCCAGGCGCCCCUCUUCCCACUUAAAGAUAAGAUGAUAUUUGUAAAACUUUGAGAAGGAGGUAUGAUUUUAAGAAUUUGCAGGGAUUUCAGAUGUGACUUGUAAGGACAGUUUGUAAUGGUUCAAAUUUGUCUCAAAAGCCAUUGGUUGAGAAUUUCAUCUUUAUACUAUAAGAAUCUUUGUAUAGAAUCUAUAUCUAUAGCUUGUAUAUAUCUCUAUAUAUGCAUCUUAUACUUUAAGCACCUUUGUACUUAAAAAGCCUUAGUAAAGAACUGCAAUUUCAAACCCUUAGUAAACAAAAUGAUGUAUAAUUUCACCAGAAUUUCAGAAUGCAUAAGGCUUAGAAGACUUUUUGGAAUUAGGAUAAGCUUUGAAGAAAUUUCCCAAGUUCAUCAUAACCAAUAGGAAUAAAAAUGUCCUCAGCUAGAGAGAGAUUCAGCUCUCUAGAUCAGCGAGUCUGUUAAAUUCAGCUAGUAAAUUAAUUUUAUCUUCUCCAAUAAUUAGCUUUGUUAAUCUUGUGCCAUAAGAGAUUUUCUAUUCAUGGAAUCACAAAUGGCAUUUGUUGAAAAAAAUUCUCGCUCCAGUGAAAUCUAACCCAGAAAUAGACUCUAUAUUAUAAUCUGGCCGAAUUUGUUUAAGGUGGUGGGAGGGUGGGGCAAAUCACAGGAAGUUUAAUUUUCUGAAAAAGGAUCCUGUGUCUCCCACCACCUCCUAAGUGGCCACCAUAGAAAGCAAAGGCAAAGAUCCAUUAUUGGCACACUGUCUCUCUGUCUCUGUCAUCUGAUUUGAUCCCCAAGUCACCCAUUGAAAUUAGUGCAGCUGACAGCUGGUUUUGAUUGAGAACUAUGACAUUAAAAGCAAUAGUAGCAGCCGGCCAUUACCAAUAGUGAACUACCUUUUCCUGUAGAAUAGAGAGCUAAUUACUUGUCUUGAGAUUUCUUCCCCUCUUCAAAGGAAGUCAGUUUGAUUCCUCCAAAGUUAUCAAGCAUAAAAGAACUCUGCCCCCAAAUCACGAUUGCCCUUUUGCAUUUUCCCCAUGAUUUCUGAGAUUUUCACUGUUGUUACUCUGGUCUUCAUAUCCUGUCUUGCUGCUUCUACUUAGACAUGCCAAUUAAAGAAAGAUAUGGUUUAUUUGAAAAAUAUGGUCCUAGAGCUGACUGUAAAGAGAGCUCUUAAACAGGCCUGAACUCUUCAUCGGGAUUAGCUGAAUGUAGUAAGUAAAUCCCAUGUUGAAUGGUGACCUUGUAAAGUCUCCAAAAA